rnacentral:rRNA from 1 species
AUGAACGCUGGCGGCGUGCCUAAUACAUGCCAGUCGAGCGAACAGACGAGGAGCUUGCUCCUCUGACGUUAGCGGCGGACGGGUGAGUAACACGUGGAUAACCUACCUAUAAGACUGGGAUAACUUCGGGAAACCGGAGCUAAUACCGGAUAAUAUAUUGAACCGCAUGGUUCAAUAGUGAAAGACGGUUUUGCUGUCACUUAUAGAUGGAUCCGCGCCGCAUUAGCUAGUUGGUAAGGUAACGGCUUACCAAGGCAACGAUGCGUAGCCGACCUGAGAGGGUGAUCGGCCACACUGGAACUGAGACACGGUCCAGACUCCUACGGGAGGCAGCAGUAGGGAAUCUUCCGCAAUGGGCGAAAGCCUGACGGAGCAACGCCGUGUGAGUGAUGAAGGUCUUCGGAUCGUAAAACUCUGUUAUUAGGGAAGAACAAAUGUGUAAGUAACUAUGCACGUCUUGACGGUACCUAAUCAGAGAGCCACGGCUAACUACGUG